rnacentral:lncRNA from 1 species
AAUAGUCAAACAAAUUAGCAAUGGGGCCACCAAGAGAGUACAUUCCACCCUGAUUCAGACAUAUCUCAGUUUAUCAGUUUUCUGUCAAUCAUUAAAAUAAGAAAGAUGAAACAUGCAAUUACAUACAAGGAGACAGAAUUCCUAAUUCUUUCAUCCUAGCUGAAGCAGAAGAGUUUUAAUUGCUUGGAAAAAUAAGAUUUUUGUUUU